ensembl:lncRNA
GCCAGAGGAGCUGGGGCAGUCACGUGCCACUGCACUGCACAUGGGCAGGCAGGGCGAGCUGGGAGGCGUGGCAAACAGGAUCAACCAGCAGGAGGUGGAGACUGUACUGGUCAACUGCCAGCCAAGGAAAAUCAGGAGCCAUGAUCUUCCCACCCGCUGCCUGAUGGGAAAUGGAGUCUCUUUACAUGAAAAGUAAGAGGCCAGUCUCCCUGCCUCCUGCCCUUUGGGAAACGUAGUCCACGGCCUCUAAGUCCUACCUUCCGAUCUGAUGCUUCAGCUCUCAGUGCCAUAAAAGCCAAAGAAACAUGGCGAAAUUCACAUUGAGGUUGAAUGUUACUCCACAAAAUUGAGUUUCAGCACCAAAGAACUGGGUUACAACUGUUCUUGGAAAAAUUACCCUGGAGAGAAAACUGGAAACUGGAUGAAAAGAACCCCCACAAUAAGGGACAGUCCUGACUGAGGCGGAAGAGGCAGCAGAAAUUCCUUCUGGAGAGAAAAAGCCACCUUCACAAACCACAGACCUUCACAGCCAGUAGGGCAGGAGCCACCCUAAGGAGCCUGAACCCCUGGACCCACCUCCAGGCUCACUCACCACCACAUAAUCCUCCAUCGUAGUGUCCAGCAGCUCAAGGGAACUGAAGAAUGUCACCAGGGAGGGGACAACACCCUGUGCCGCCAUCGGGAUGGGCAUGGUGAUGAGCUCCCAAUCUCAGGAAAGAGUGAGGAGAACUCCACCUGCCUCCAGCGCUCUCCUAGGACUUCCUGUCAUCUGACUGUCAUCACUGCUCUCCCCUCAGCUCUCGAGGAGGAGCCAGCACAAAUCUCCUCCCAUUCCUGUCAUCCCUUGGACGGUAUCACCCCACCGUGAGGCCUGCACCACGUCAUCUCCCUCCAUUUCCCAGAGGAGGAGACCGAGGCCCACAGAGGGGCAGAGACUUGCUCAAGGACCCACUGAGGAGAGGCCACUCUCCGUCCCAGCCAGAGUCCCUGUCCCCACUGCCUUCACCCCUCGCCCUGCCCCACCACUGACCACGGUCCUGACCUCUGCACUCCCAGAGUGUGUCCCAACAAUAGCCAAACUGAGAUGUGGAGGGAGAGGGCAGAGGGUGUUGGUGGUGGCCGUGUGGCAUCUCCUUCCUGCCCCAUCCACAGGGGUCUCUGAACCCCAGGAUGGCCUUACCAUAGCCUCAGUUCCUAGGAUGCCCUCAGGAUGUUCCCGGCUCCCUCACACACCCCUCCUCCCAGAUCUCCAGCCCCAGGUUACCUUCAGGAGCAGUCUCAUGCUCACGUGCUGCUCUCCCCUGCACCACUUCUUAAAGGUGUAGGAUCUCUCCCUGGGGGAGUGGGGAAAGAAAGAAAGAAAGACUAUGGGAUGGUUGAAGGGCAAAUCCCAUUUGUUUUAGAUCCCAAAAGAUCCAAACAGCCUGGGGCCUGGAUGAGGGAUUUCACUGGGUUGCUCUGAGCCCCGAGGUCCCCAUGGGACUGGGGAGGGGCCUCUCCUGUUGUCACCUGGGGCCUCCAUUCCCAUAUCUACCACACAGAUCUGUUUUGAACACUCUUGGUUUCAGUUGGAUGGAGAUUUCUGUUGCUGCAAAGGAAAAACACUUGAGAAUCUCCAACUGGGCUCAAGUCAGGAUCUGAUAUUGAAGGAAAUGAGUUCCUGGGCAGAACCGCUGGCCUAAGGGCCCUGAGAGGCUCAGAGACCCAGGAACUGGAUCAGUCUGUGUCCCAGGCAUUCACUGUCUCCCAGGUGGUCUCAGCUGACUGCGGGGGCCAUGGCGACCCAUUGCCGGCUGCCAGGUCCACCUCCCCCUCGUGGUGCUUGGAUAGAGAGCAGCCUACCCACCUGGAUACUUGUCCCCAGGUGUCUUUGAGACGCUUAAUGGCAGGGCUCUGCAGAGCAGAAAGGAUCAUGUGU